rnacentral:rRNA from 1 species
UACGUAGGGUGCGAGCGUUGUCCGGAAUUAUUGGGCGUAAAGAGCUUGUAGGCGGUCUGUCGCGUCUGCUGUGAAAAUCCGGGGCUCAACCCCGGACUUGCAGUGGGUACGGGCAGACUAGAGUGUGGUAGGGGAGACUGGAAUUCCUGGUGUAGCGGUGAAAUGCGUAGAUAUCGGGAGGAACACCAGUGGCGAAGGUGAGUCUCUGGGAUGAUGCUGACGCUGAGGCGCGAAAGCCAGGGGAGCAAACGGG